CCCGCAGGCGGGCGAAGUAGUCGGCGGCGAAGCCCAGCAGGUCGGACGGCCGGUGCCGCAGCACCUCCACCGUGUAGCCCUGCAGCAGCUCGAAUCACAGAAUCAAUUAGGUUGGGAAAGACCUUUGAGAUCAUCUGAGUCCAACCUCAAACACCACCAUGUCAACUAGACCAUGGCACUGAGUACCACGUUCAGUCUUUUCUUAAGCACCUACAGGGACGGUGACUCCACCACCUCCCUGGGCAACCCAUUCCGAUGUCUAAUCACCCUUUCUGUGAAGAAUUUCUUCCUUAUGUCCAACCUAAACAUCCCCUGGCACAGCCUGAGGCCAUAUUCCCUCAUCCUGUUGCCAGUCACCUGGAAGAAGAGGCCAAUCCCCACCUGGCGACAGCCCCCUUUCUGGGAGUUCUAUAAACUGAUAAAGUCUCCCCUGAGCCUUCUUUUCUCCAGGCUAAACAACCCCAGCUGCCUCAGCUGCUCCUCAUAGGACUUGUGCUCCAGACCCUUCCCCAGCUCCCUUGCCAUUCUCUGGACUCACACCACCACCUCAGUGUCCUUCUUGAAGUGAGGGGCCCAGAACUAGACACAAGAAUCAAGGUGUGACCUCACCAGUGCCAAGGACAGAGGUUUUCUUUUCUCAAGCUGCCUGUAAGGGUGUUUAAAAGGUCCCCCAGGAGCAGGAGAAGUUGUUUUUCUUUGACCUUCAUCAGACCCAAUAUAAAUUUCAAUCUAAUUCUUGGUAGCAGUUUGAUUUAGGACCUCCCACCCCUCUAGUUUCUUGUCAGAAUUAAGGCAUUAAAGAACAAUUCUUAAAAGAAGUGAGCGCAAGAGGAGCAUGCAGCUCUUCACACCUGAAUAGAGCCAUAAUGACAUCACUUGUGAAAUUGUGGCAGUAGCUCUGAUCUGCUUAAUAAUAAACCAUUGAAGAUGAAGAAUUUCAGAGAAAUGAAACACAGAAUCAUAGAAUGGUUUGGGUUAGAAGGAACCCUAAAGAUCAUCUGGUUCCAUGGGCAGGGACACAUUCCACUAGACCGGAUUGCUCCAAGCAUUGUCCAACCUGGCCUUGAACGCUUCCAGGGAUGGGGCAUCCAAAGCUUCUUUGGACAACCUGUACCAGCACCUCCCCACCCUCUCACAGUUGCUUAUAUAUGUGAGCUUUGUAGGUACCCGUUUGUAUGUUGUUGGAUGUGCUUUAUUCAGAUUUUUGCUUGUCUUCAUUGUACAAAACCUGUUAUCUGUGUGUUUGGCAGAUGCCCAGGGGAAGGCAAUGGGCUGUGUGGCAUGGAGCCAUCGGCCUUUAAGGUUUGACGUUGCUGGAGACCUCGUCUUGGGAGAAAACAGUCCUGUACAAACAUAAGUCAAGGGGAAUACGGAUGUUGGCUUAGUGACGCCGCUGCGCGUUGUCAGUGCAAAUAUUUUUAUUUAAUUCUUCUUCUGUUUCAACAAUAAAAGAGCAGAAAUC